GAUGAACGCUGGCGGCGUGCCUAAUACAUGCAAGUCGAGCGAAGCGGGGACGGGUGAGUAACACGUGGAUAACCUCCUAUACGACUGGGAUAACUUCGGGAAACCGGAGCUAAAACGGAUAAUUAUAGAUGGAUCCGCGAUGCAUUAGCUAGUUGGUAAGGUACAGGCUUACCAAGUCAACCAUGCAUAGCCGACCUGAGAGGUUGAUCGGCCAGACUCGAACUGAGACCCGGCCCAGACUCUGACGGGAGGCAGCAGUAGGGAAUCUUCCGCAAUGGGCUAAAGCCUGACGGAGCAACGCCGCGUGAGUGAUGAAGGUCUUCGGAUCGUAAAACUCUGUUAUUAGGGAAGCGGUACCUAAUCAGAAAGCCACGGCUAACUACGUGCCAGCAGCCGCGGUAAUAC
rnacentral:rRNA from 1 species